AAAAAGACAAACCUUGGAUUUCCGUGUCCAACUUUGAUUGUCCGUCUUAUAUAAAAUUUUUUUAUAAUUCGUAUUUUUAUUAUUGUUAGAUGAUAAAACAUGAUUAAUACUUUGUGCGUGACUUAUCUUUUUAAUUUUUUUCAUAUUUUUUUCAAAUAAGACGAACGGUCAAACGUUGGGCACGGAAACCAGGGUUUGUCUUUUU
rnacentral:pre_miRNA from 1 species